ACCAACAGGGAUCGCCUCAGUAACGGCGAGUGAAGCGGCAACAGCUCAAAUUUGAAAUCUGGAGCCUUCGGCUUCCGAGUUGUAAUUUGAAGAGGAUGUUUCGGUGCGACCUGGGCCUAAGUUCCUUGGAACAGGACGUCAUGGAGGGUGAGAAUCCCGUACAUGGCUGCAGGUUUGCUUCUAUGUGAAACUCCUUCGAAGAGUCGAGUUGUUUGGGAAUGCAGCUCAAAAUGGGUGGUAAAUUUCAUCUAAAGCUAAAUAUUGGCGGGAGACCGAUAGCACACAAGUAGAGUGAUCGAAAGAUGAAAAGCACUUUGAAAAGAGAGUUAAACAGUACGUGAAAUUGUUGAAAGGGAAGCGCUUGCAAUCAGACUCGCCUUCAGUUGAUCAGCCUUCCUUCUGGUUGGUGCACUCUGCUGUUGGCGGGCCAGCAUCAGUUGGGGCGGUGGGAUAAAGGCGGCAGGAAUGUGGCUCGCUUCGGUGAGUGUUAUAGCCUGCUGUGUCAUGCCACCAGUCCCGACUGAGGUCCGCGGUUCGCCUAGGAUGCUGGCUUAAUGGUUGU
rnacentral:rRNA from 1 species